AACUCAUUCAAUGAGAAAAUAGGUUUUGGAAUAGCAUCCUCGUCCUGCAUGUAUAUAGGUAAAGCAAGUAUGGUUAAUCGGAAUCCUAAAGAUAAUUCAUAUUCAUCGGAAGUAUCGUCGAACCAAGACCGAAAAACUCAUUCAGUUAUAUCGCCGUCAAAAAAUCAGACACGAGAGGGCGAAUGGGAUACGAAUCAUUGCAAUGUUGCAGAACACGCUAGUAAUCAAAGUAGCUCGCUGGCAUGCCAGAUGGAUCCUUCAUCUUCUGUGAUUCUGCAUCCACAUAAUUUGUCAAAUAUUCCUAGCACAUCCAAAAAUUGGAUUGAUAUGUUAAAUUUCGAUAGUUGCGGUUUACCAACAACAUCUUCAUUUCAGAGCAGUGUUCUCAAAGAUAGCAAUUUCAGUACAAAUGUAUUUUUUCCAUCUGCUAUCGAUAUCGAUCGAUCUUCUAGUGAUAUUUUAUGUGUUCAGAAAUCCCAUUCAUCGAAGUCACUCAAACAGCAUAACCAAUCAAAAAACAAGAAACCGAACCCAACCGAGUUCACUGCCGCUUGGUCUCGCAAUUGCACUCUUUCUCAACCGGAUGUAAAUCGCUCAGUUAUUAGCUGUUUAAACACAUUACAAGAUAACAAAGAACACUCUCAACAAGACCAAUAACACUCUUAAUAAAUUAAAUUUUAUUUCCGGUGGCUUACGCAAAACAUGAAAAUUGGAUAAAAAAGACAGGUUAUCUGAUUAACGAUUCUGGUUAAAUAGUAUUAUGUAAUGGGAGGAUAUUCGAUAGAUCGUAUUAAGUAUACCUAUCUUUUAAAUGAUAUUGUAUUGUGAAAAUUCAUAUAGACUGAUGCAAGCCAUUAAAAUUAAAUGUACAUUUACAAGCAAUGAAAGGGCCACAUUAUCAAUGCUUUUUACAAAUUAUA